rnacentral:rRNA from 1 species
GGGAGGACCAUCUCCUAAGGCUAAAUACUCUCUAGUGACCGAUAGUGAACCAGUACCGUGAGGGAAAGGUGAAAAGCACCCCGGAAGGGGAGUGAAAUAGAACCUGAAACCGUGUGCUUACAAGUAGUCAGAGCCCGUUAAUGGGUGAUGGCGUGCCUUUUGUAGAAUGAACCGGCGAGUUACGAUUUGAUGCAAGGUUAAGCAGUAAAUGUGGAGCCGUAGCGAAAGCGAGUCUGAAUAGGGCGUUUAGUAUUUGGUCGUAGACCCGAAACCAGGUGAUCUACCCUUGGUCAGGUUGAAGUUCAGGUAACACUGAAUGGAGGACCGAACCGACUUACGUUGAAAAGUGAGCGGAUGAACUGAGGGUAGCGGAGAAAUUCCAAUCGAACCUGGAGAUAGCUGGUUCUCUCCGAAAUAGCUUUAGGGCUAGCCUCAAGUGAUGAUUAUUGGAGGUAGAGCACUGUUUGGACGAGGGGCCCCUCUCGGGUUACCGAAUUCAGACAAACUCCGAAUGCCAAUUAAUUUAACUUGGGAGUCAGAACAUGGGUGAUAAGGUCCGUGUUCGAAAGGGAAACAGCCCAGACCACC